rnacentral:rRNA from 1 species
UGGGGAAUAUUGGACAAUGGGCGAAAGCCUGAUCCAGCAAUGCCGCGUGAGUGAUGAAGGCCUUAGGGUUGUAAAGCUCUUUUACCCGGGAAGAUAAUGACUGUACCGGGAGAAUAAGCCCCGGCUAACUCCGUGCCAGCAGCCGCGGUAAUACGGAGGGGGCUAGCGUUGUUCGGAAUUACUGGGCGUAAAGCGCACGUAGGCGGCUUUGUAAGUUAGAGGUGAAAGCCUGGGGCUCAACUCCAGAACUGCCUUUAAGACUGCAUCGCUUGAAUCAUGGAGAGGCGGGUGGAAUUCCGAGUGUAGAGGUGAAAUUCGUAGAUAUUCGGAAGAACACCAGUGGCGAAGGCGGCCCGCUGGACAUGUAUUGACGCUGAGGUGCGAAAGCGUGGGGAGCAAACA